GCUGAGAGAUCUGUAGUCAGGAUUGGACCAACAGCCAUUCACUGGACUAACAAAUAAGAGGUAGGAGACAGUGGGGAUAGGGAAAAAAAAAAAAUCAAAUAAAACCUAGCUAGAUACAGCAUAAAAUACUGGGUAGAGAUUACAUCCCCGUAACAUAAAGGAACUUCAUUUAACAAUGCAGAGGUCUCUUACAGCCAGCAGCUGUAAUCUAACUAGCCUAACAAGCCAAAGGAGGUUAAUUUGCUAGGGGCAGGGAAGAGCUGGGUGUUAUUUAUAGCACAAAUUGCUGAGCCUGCAAGUGUCUCCUAUGCCCUCAUUAUCCUUUUUGGAAGCAUCAUAGCAAGUGUGUUUUUCAGGCUUUAUCCUCUACAGCUAAUGCAGUUUUGGUUAGCCCAAGUCACCUGAGCUGAACCAUGCCCUUCUGAAAAUACUUUUUAAGGUUAAGCAUUACUUAUUUGAAUAAUUACAGAAAUAAUUGCCAGAGGACUUUGAAGGCUGAAGCAUUAUCUGCCUGUGUGAAAAGGAAAUGGCCUAUGUGCUUCUGAGAAUUUUUAUGUUAGCUUCACAAUUAAUUUCUCUUCCUGGAUUACAAAUGAAGAACCUGCACAGGCUUUUGGCAAUUUUGGAUAUUUUCUCCUGUGUGUGUAGUGGGACUAGGAUGUUCUGAGCAUAUUUUUGACCGUUUUUCUGUGAGUUCAAAGGGCGUUUCACUAGGGGAAAAAAACACAACACCGUUAUCAGGAGAACAUCUGUAUUUUCAUCAGCAUUAGAGCAGAGUGCAUCUCCACUGCCCACAUGCAAAAGAAUGUUUAUAUAAAGGCUAAUGUUUUCUCUUUGUUACUAUGUGAAUAAAAGCAGGUAUUUUUAGAGCAAGUAC